rnacentral:lncRNA from 1 species
GGCAGACACGUCAAGUGGUUGAUUUUCGGAAAGAACAAGAUAGUGUACAGUGAGCUUAUAUCAAAAAGUAUUAAUGGAGGAGGGCCUCUUUGCAUCAUGUUGAAAGAUAAAUUUGAGUGAAAGGGCUUCUGUUUUCCCUGGCAACAGAUCGUUCCUUAGCAAGGUGCCAAUUUAUUGAGAGGUUAUUACUCUCAUUUUCGAUGUGUUCUUUUGAAUAAGUAAGUGAACUCGGUUUUAUUCUUUGUUCGUUAUCUCCGCUUUGUUGAAACAAAAUUCAACGCCGAUAUAAUGGUUUCAAGAAUAUUCCAGUUACAACUUACUUCUUAAUAAUCAUAUGAUAACUUAUUCCUUCUUUGCCCCAUCUCGGCUUUGUUAGAAUAAAUUCUAACGCUGGUACAAUGAUAUCGAAGCAAUCCCUUAUUACACAAUUAUUAAG